rnacentral:piRNA from 1 species
UACCUAUGUAACAAAACUGCAUGUUGUGC